UCUCUCUCUCUCUCUCUCUCUCUCUCUCUCUCUCUCUCUCUCUCUCUAAACCUAAAUAGCCAAGGGUUUGUCUCACUACAAGAUCAACGCAAUUUCCAAAUACCAUCCACGAAAUUCAAAACUUUUUGAGCUAAAUUUUCGUCACGAGUUCAGGAGUUUCGAUGGGUUUUCGAUCUUGGUUGAUUCUUCAAAAACCCAACCGACAAGUUCAUCCAAAAUCAUCUACAUGAGGUUCUUCCACGUUUGUAGCGACUGUUGUGUUGUAGCUGUUAAAUAUUAAUUAUCUACUCACUUUCAAUGGAGAUCGGUCUCAACAAACAAGAAAAUACCAAAACAAGUGAAUUUAUGAGCUUUUCUAUUCGUGAGUAUGUUGCUGAAAUUCGCAAAAAAGAUCGGAAGAAAUGUUGGCCUUUUGGAUCACUGGGUGAUCCUGAAAAGUAUGAUGUUUUUGCUUCAUAUCAAUCGGUAGAUUCUACAUUCUUGUGUAGUCCCAGUGAUCAUAUUGAUGGUUCACAUGAUAAACCAGAACAUAAAGAAGCUUCAAAUUCAUCUAUCAAAAAAACUCUCACUGGAAAAGAAGAUCGAUCUCAAACUAAAGAUAUGAUUGAAUCUCUAGGAGCGAAUGAUAUUAAUAUAUGCAAACGAGUCAACAAUGGAUACCCAGAUUCAAAAUCUUGCAAGGUGAUUUACAAGGAGCAAAACCAACCUGAAAAUAGUGCGAAUGGAAGUGGAUAUAACGAUAAAUCUGGAAGAAUUCAGCCACGAAGGAAACAUCAGAAGCUUUGUUUGUUGUCUGAUAUAUUAAGGAAUCUUGACAAAGUUAACACUAGAAACACUACAGAAUCUAAAGAUGAGAAAUAUGAGGAUGUUGCGUUUUCCAGAAAACAAAAGGGUGUUCAAAUUACCACAAUCUCAAACAACAAGAUGACGACAUAUGGUGUUGAAGAGAUGAGAUUUGGAAAAGAAGAAAAGUCAAAGUGUGGAUCAAAAGACUCGCAUGAAAAUGAUUCGAGGAAAACUAGGAUUGAUGACAUGGAUUUUCAGGUCAUGGAAAAGCGUAGAAAAGUUAGACCACUGGAGGAAAAUGGUAUCCAAUCUACAGUAACACCAAACGAAGAUUCUGAAAUGGAGGCUGUGAUGCUAUUGGCUACGCAUUUUAAUGAAGAGAAUCCUUCAAAUCCAACAGAUGAUGCAAAAAGAGCUCAAAUGGUUCAAUCGACCAUGGAAAUGGAGUCACUAGCAGGAGAAGCAAGCAAACAUAUGACUACUUAUUCACCAAUAUUAACCUCAAAUGUUGGGAAUCGAGCUAAAUUUCGGCAUGAUCAAGGGUUUGCAAUGGGGACGACUUGUGCUUGUGUCCAUAAAAAGAUCCGAGUGAGUUUAGGGACAGAGAAUAGGAGCUCAACAGCUGCCAGUUUUCAAAACAAUUUGACUCUUGUGUGCUCGAUUAAUAGGAAUCCAGCUGAUUUCAGCAUACCUAAUGCUCAAAAUGUGUUUAUGAGAGGAGGUUGAAGUUUAAGCAGCGUUUUUGUGGUCUUAAAAGUUACGCUCGUUGUCGUAUUAGAAGAAUAAUCAUCACAGCUUUGAAGUUGUUCCAAAUACAGGUUGCACAUAUGGAGAAUCUAUUGGGCUUUUUGGAUCAGAUGGACCGGGUAGGUCUUUGACUGGGCUAUAGUGUCAUCAGUUUGGACCGGUGAAUUUGUGGUAUUUGAGCUAUAACAUCAUCAUAUUCUUUUUUUUAAACCGUUAUACUCGUUCGGGGUUUUUGGAUAGGUUUUUAUUUGUAUUUUCUUAAUAUUGUAUUUUGAGUUUAUUUAUUUAUUUAUUUAUUUUAAUCA